UCCGCAUUGCUCCUACUCUGUUCUUGCCUCCUUAGGUCGAAUUUCCGGUCUCCUUAGACUCCUUAGGUCUAAAUACUCAAAAGUAUGUCAAAGGUUCUUAAAAUACCAUUUUUUCCAUGUUUAUACACCAAUUAGGGUCGGGCCCAAACAAUUCCACAUUCUCCUACGCGAAAAAGGACACUUCUCUCGGACAAGACGUGCACGCCCGAGCUUGGACUGCACACUUGAUGAGCAUUGUUUACCCUUUUCUGUUAGGAGUUUGAAAAAACGUAAAACAUGAAAGUUGUAGCACCUUGAGUUAGCUUUAAAACCAUAUAAUGUGGAUUCCAAAUAGAGUUCUGAGAGAAAGGUUAUGUGCAUUUUACUAGACAAUGCGUAAUAUGCCUACUCGAUUAUUUGUUUGUUCUAAUUAUCAUCAGUUGAUCCCUGAACACGAUCUCUGCUUAAUUCCUUGAGCUUUUACUCAGACUUCAAAGUUACAAAUCACUUUAAUUCAUUCAAUAACAUCUAUAUAGCUCGGAAUCCCUCUUACAAGGCAUAAAACACACAAUUAGUGCAAAAUACUAACGAUUAAAAUUCAAACUCAGUUAAAAUAUAAUAAAUUAAAAUGUAAUAAGCGACUAAAAUAUACAAUUAUAACCUAUAAUCAAUGCCCCAUUAUAUUUGUGUGGUUAAACUUUACACCACUUCAAUUAAUAGUAGUCCAUUUCGUUUUCCUUUUUUCUUAACUUUCUCCUCAAGUCCUAUUUUGUAGAAAAGAUGUAAAGAGCAGUACCACCGAAUUAAUGUAAAGUCAAGAGGAAUAGACAGAUAUUCAAUAAACUUCAUUUCAUAGUUUUCCAUAAUUAGCUGCUUCAGAAAAUAACUAUCAAGUGGGAGCUUCUAUACUCAGCCUCAGCAGAAGAGAGGGAUACUACAAGCUGCUUCUUAGCCUUCCAACCAAUAAGGGAGUCACCUAUCAGAACAUAAAAACCAGAUAAAGAUCUUCUGGUGUCUGGGCAGGAUGCCCAGUCAAUAUCACAGUAAGCAGAUAAGGAGAGGUCAGGAGUGUUGCUGAGAAAGAUGCCAAGGUCAGAAGUGCCUCUGAGAUAUCUCAGGGUAUGCAAAGCUGCAUGCAUAUGGGAGGAAGUAGGCUUCUCGAGGUAUUGACUUAAAUGCUGGACAGCAAAGGCUAAGUCAGGUCUAGUGUGGGUGAGGAAAUUGAGUUUCCCCACUAGGCAUCUAUAGGUUUCAGGAGAGGGAAGAGGAUCCCCUAAAUCCAGUUUGAGUUUAAUAGAGAGGUCAAGAGGGCAAGUAACAGGAGAUACAUCUUCACAGUGAUAGGCCAUGAGGAGGUCAGUGAUGAAUUUUUUCUGGUGGAGAAGAAGCCCAGUAGGAAGAUAAGAGACCUCAAUACCCAAAAAAUAGUUGAGCACCCCUAAGUCCUUGAUUUUAAACUCAUGGUCCUCACAGUGAUAGGCCUUGAGCAGGUCGGUGAUGAACUUUUUCUGGUGGAGAAGGAGCCCAGUAGGAAGAUAAGUGACCUCAAUUCCCAAAAAAUAGUUGAGUACCCCCAAGUCCUUGAUUUUAAACUCAUGAUCCAGAAAUAUUUUCAAAGCAGUGAUCUCCUCCAAAUCAUUACCAGUAAGAAUAAUGUCAUCAACAUAUACAGCCAACAAGACAAUAGAAGAGCCAGAUUUCUUAAGGAAAAGAGAAUAGUCAUUGAGAGAAGAAGAAAAACCCUUAGAACAUAAAGCCUGGGACAGCUUGGCAUACCAUUGCCUAGAAGCUUGCCUUAAACCAUACAAAGAUUUCUGAAGUAGACAAACCAAAGUAGAAAAAGAGGUAGCAAAUAAGGCCUGGGACAGCUUGGCAUACCAUUGCCUGGAAGCUUGCCUUAAACCAUACAAAGAUUUCUGAAGAAGACAUACCAAAGGAGAAGAAGAAGAAACACAGGUGACCUCGAGACCAGGAGGCAAUUUCACAUAGACUUCCUCAGCUAAGUCACCAUGUAGGAAGGCAUUAUUGACAUCAAGUUGAAAAAGGGACCAAUGUUGUUUGACAGCCACAGCAAUAAGGGAUUUAAUAGUUGAAAAUUUGACAACAGGAGAGAAUGUCUCAGUAAAGUCUACCCCCUCAAUCUGGGUGUCACCCCUAACAACCAGCCUAGCUUUAUGCCUCUCCACAGAUCCAUCAGCCCUAUAUUUUAUGCCACAACAAUGAGGGAUUUUAUAGUGGAAAACUUAACAGCAGGAGAGGAAGUCUCAGUAAAGUCUACCCCCUCAACCUGGGUGUCACCCCUAACAACCAGCCUAGCCUUGUGCCUCUCCACAGACCCAUCAGCCCUAUAUUUAAUCUUAUAAACCCAUUUGCAACCAAUGGGCUUCUUGCCAGGGGGAAGGGGAACCAGUGACCAGGUGUGAUUUGCCUCCAAAGCAGCAAAUUCCUUGGCCAUGGCCUCCUGCCAAGAAGGAAUAGAGGCAGCCUGCUUAUAAGAGUUAGGCUUAGCCUCUGUAGAGCUAACUAAACUGUGAAGACAAGUGGAAGAAGAGCUGGGGAUAGAGAUAGAGGGAGGGAGAGUGCAGACAUACUGCUGAAGGUGAGCAGGAUGAAUUUCUUGCCCGGGGGAAGGGGAACCAUUGACCAGGUAUGAUUGGCCUCCAAGGCUGAAAUUCCUUGGCCAUGGCCUCCUGCCAAGCAUGAAUAGAGGCAGCCUGCUUAUAAGAGGUAGGCUCAGCCUCUGUAGAGCUAACUAAACUGUGAAGACAAGUGGAAGAAGAACUGGGGCCAGAGAUAGAUGCAGGGAGAGUGCAGACAUACUGCUGCAGGUGAGCAGGAAGAACAUGUGCCCUACUGGAUCUUCUAGGAAUGGAGGAGGAAGGCACUGUAAGAUUGUGUGAUUGGGAAGAAGAAUGGAAGGAGAGGCAAGAGGAGGCUGGGUGAUAGAUGAAGAAGGAGUAGAUAGAAAGUCAUCAACAGGAGGAACCCAGGCAGAAGAAUGGGAAGGAGGAGGAAAGGGACUAUGGGAAGAGUUCCCUGGAGAAGCAAAAGGAAAGACAUACUCAUGAAAAAUGACAUCCCUGGAGAUCAGAGUAAGUUUGGACUUCAAAUUAUACAGUUUGUAACCUUUUUUACCCAAUGGAUAUCCCAGAAAAACACAUGGAUCAGCUCUGGGUUGAAAUUUGUCCCUGUUCUGUUUAGGGACUGAGGCAAAACAGAGGCAACCAAAAGUUUUAAGAGGGUUAUAUGAUGGAACCUGUCCAAACAGCAACUCAAAGGAGGAUUUAUUGUGAAGUAUUUUGGAGGGAAAUCUGUUGAUGAGGUAGGUGGCAGUGAGCACACAGUUACCCCAGAAUCUGAUAGGUAGCUAUGAAUGGAAAAGUAGAGCCCUUGAGGUUUCUAGGAGAUAUGUAGGUGGCAGUGAGCACACAGUCACCCCAGAAUCUAAUUGGUAGCUGUGAAUGGAAAAGUAGAGCCCUUGAGGUUUCUAGCAGAUAUCUAUGCUUUCUCUCAACUACACCAUUUUGUUGUGGUGUGUGAGAGCAGGAAGUUUGAUUCAGUAUGCCAUUUUCAGCAAAGAAAUUGCUGCCACAGCUACUAGAGCCAAGUUCAAAGGCAUUAUCACUCCUAAUGGUUUAUACCAUAGACUGGAAUUGAGUUUUAAUCAUGGAAAUGAAGGCCUUGAUAAGGGGAAAAGCAUUGCUCUUGGACCUUAUAAGGUGGGUCCAAGUAGCUCUGGUAAAAUCAUCAACAAAAUGAAGGCUUUGAUAAGGGGAAAAGCAUUGCUCUUGGACCCCAUAAGGUUGGUCCAAGUAGAUCUGGUAAAAUCAUCAACAAUUGUGAGAAAGUAUCUACCCCCAUUAUGAGUAGGAGUGGCAUAUGGACCCCAUGUAUCAACAUGGAUUAGUUGAAAGGCAUGUGUUGUUUUAAUGGAACUAUCAGGAAAGGGUAGUCUAGAUUGCCUGGCCAGAGGACAGAUAUGACAAAGGAAAGGCUGCUUUGUUGAAAAUGUACACGGUAUAGAAGACAUGUCUUUCAUUCUAACAAAUGGUAAGUGCCCUAGUCUAUUGUGCCAUAAAAUCUCCAUUUUAUUAGAUUCAGAAUGAUAUGUACAAUAGAAGGCAUGUCUUUCAUUCUAACAAAAGGUAUGUGCCCUAGUCUAUUGUGCCAUAAAAUUUCCAUUUUAUUAGAUUCAGAAUAAUAUGUACAAUGAGAAGAAGAAAUAGAAUCAACAGUUAAUGGAGACUGGUAUUUACAAUGAUCAAAAGAUUGAAGAGAGGAAGAUUGCACAAGCCUGUAGAGACCAUCAUCCAAUUUACCAAUCUCCAGUAGCCUCUUCAGAGAAGGGGCCUGUAUUAAACAAGAGAAUUUAAUAAAUAGGACAAUAGAAUUUAACUGGCACACAAGUUUAGACACAGAGAUGAGAUUGUAGUGAAAGCUGGGAAUAUAAAGGACAUGAUGUAGAGUGAAGGAAAAGAAUUGUAUUGAGCCAGUGCAUGUUACCUUAACCUUAUAACCAUUGGGGCACGAUGUAGAGUGAAGCAAAAGAAUUGUAUUGACCAGUGCAUGUUACCUUAACCUUAUAACCAUUGGGAAAGGUAACUAGAUAUGGUAUAACUAAGGGCUUAAUGUCAAACAGAAGGUCUUUAUUAGAGGUCAUGUGAUUAGUGGCACCAGAGUCUAUAAUCCAAAUGCAGUAACUUAUUUUAGUUAACAUGCAGGCCCCAUAAGAUAAAUUCUUUAAGUGAGUGGUUGAAGAAAAGUUACCAGCAAAAUUGAUUGAUGCAAUAAGACUUGACUGCUGCUGAGACUCUGAAAUUUGUGUCUUCUUGAGUAACAACAUAAGCUGUGAGUAUUGAUCUUUGGUUAAACCAGGUAUGGCAGGCUCUGAUUGAGAAGCCCCCUGAUCAUUGGCAGUAUUGGUCUGAUUUCC
rnacentral:lncRNA from 1 species